CGGUUCAAAAUUAUUGCUGACAAAUAUCGAAAUGGACGUAAAAGAUUCGGUCUUAGAUUUAAUUUGAUCUCUAGCAUUUAUAAUAGACCUCUUUCGAAACUGGUUAAGGUAGUUUAAAAUUAUAAAUGCCAGAGAUCAAAUUAAAUCUAAGACCGAAUCUUUUACGUCCAUUUCGAUAUUUGUCAGCAAUAAUUUUGAACUA
rnacentral:pre_miRNA from 1 species